CGUUGACCCUUGGCCGAGGGGACCCGGGACGCCCCCGCCCCCGCCCGGCGGCCAAGGCCACGGCGCUCCCCGCCCGGACUGCCUACCGCGCUGCUCCGCGCUGCCUCCCGAGGCGGGCGAGGCCCGACAGUCCGCUGGGCCGGCCGCCGGCUGGCGGAACGGGAUGCAAGAGGAAGCUGAAGGCAGGGGGACUGAGGAGAAGGGGCACGGGAGCUCUCCGGGUUUGUGUAUUUGGGGGGGGGGGGUCAGAGUUCGUGACCCUUCCCGGGAGCAGGCGGCGCGCGUUGCAGUCUGCGCUCGCGCACGAGCGACGUGGAGAGGCGGCGAGAGGUCGUGACGUUCCGGAGUGGGGGCGGAGCGACCCGAGAGUGAGCCGCGCUUCUGAAAAUCGGCUGACCCCUGUCGGCCUGGAGGGAGGCUGCUCGCCAGUGCCGCUUAUCCAUCGCUGCUUUUGGGAGUCACUCGCGUUUAGGCAUCUUGUUACCCAAAGUGCUGCAAUCAAACCAGGAGCCUCAAACACCCGAGGCAAGCACUCUGCCACUGAAUUACAGCGCAGAAGAAAAGUGGCUACAGUCCUUGAAGAGAUAACGGGGACUUCAGCCAAGUUUCCUGUACAAGUGGCUCACAGGUUAAACAACAGGUGCACCAGAGUCAUGUACAGGAGUCUUUCCUCACCAGGCCCACUGACACUGACUGGGAAACGAAGGACUUCGUUGUAAAUACCAAGGAAGUCAUGUCACAAAGAGUGAUGCCAGUUGGUUUGUAAAAGCACAGCACUUUAGGAAACAGCGUUCUCUUUAGAUACACGGUGAAUGCCACUGCAGCGUGUGCAGUGCCAGUGCAGAUAAAGGUCCAGAACACUUGCUACAGCGCUGGCCUGCAGCUCAGAGGGAGAGGAAAGCCAGCCUGCUGUCUGUGAGGCGCAAGCCCAGUGCUACAAAGAAAACCAUAAAUGAAUAAACGUG
rnacentral:lncRNA from 1 species